UACGAAGGGUGCAAGCGUUAUUCGGAAUAAUUGGGCGUAAAGGGUGCGCAGGCGGUAUGUUAAGUCAAUCGUUAAAUUUCCCGGCUUAACUGGGAGCAAGCGGUAGAUACUGGCAAACUAGAGUAUGGAAGAGAGAAGUGGAAUUCUCGGAGUAGCGGUAAAAUGCGUAGAUCUCGAGAGGAACACCGAUGGCGAAGGCAGCUUCUUGGUCCAUUACUGACGCUCAGGUGCGAAAGCCAGGGGAGCAAACGGG
rnacentral:rRNA from 1 species